UGGGGAAUCUUGGACAAUGGGGGCAACCCUGAUCCAGCCAUGCCGCGUGAGUGAUGAAGGCCUUAGGGUCGUAAAGCUCUUUCGCCUGUGAAGAUAAUGACGGUAGCAGGUAAAGAAACCCCGGCUAACUCCGUGCCAGCAGCCGCGGUAAUACGGAGGGGGUUAGCGUUGUUCGGAAUUACUGGGCGUAAAGCGCACGUAGGCGGACCAGAAAGUUGGGGGUGAAAUCCCGGGGGCUCAACCCCGGAACUGCCUCCAAAACUAUUGGUCUAGAGUUCGAGAGAGGUGAGUGGAAUUCCAAGUGUAGAGGUGAAAUUCGUAGAUAUUCGGAGGAACACCAGUGGCGAAGGCGGCUCACUGGCUCGAUACUGACGCUGAGGUGCGAAAGUGUGGGGAGCAAACAGGAUUAGAUACCCUGGUAGU
rnacentral:rRNA from 1 species